rnacentral:antisense_RNA from 15 species
CUUCAACGACCCCAGCCACAGCGGCUGACCCUCCGGCCGCUCCUGCCCGUAGGUGGCCAGGAGCGCCUGGGCCUC